rnacentral:rRNA from 1 species
AUUGAACGCUGGCGGCAGGCUUAACACAUGCAAGUCGAGCGAGCGGCGGACGGGUGAGUAAUGUAUGGGAAACUGCCUGAUGGAGGGGGAUAACUACUGGAAACGGUAGCUAAUACCGCAUACCAUCAGAUGUGCCCAGAUGGGAUUAGCUAGUAGGUAGGGUAAUGGCUUACCUAGGCGACGAUCCCUAGCUGGUCUGAGAGGAUGACCAGCCACACUGGAACUGAGACACGGUCCAGACUCCUACGGGAGGCAGCAGUGGGGAAUAUUGCGCAAUGGGGGCAAGCCUGAUGCAGCCAUGCCGCGUGUGUGAAGAAGGCCUUCGGGUUGUAAAGCUCUUUCAGCGGGGAGGCGUUACUCACAGAAGAAGCACCGGCUAACUCCGUGCCAGCAGCCGCGGUAAUAC